rnacentral:misc_RNA from 1 species
GUAGGUGAACCUGCGGAUGGAUCAUUAGAAAGUGUAGAUGCGCGAUCUGAUCGCGCGUCGACCACCCACUCUGUGCACUGUAACGUACCCUGGCGGGAGCCUGCUACGGGCGACCGUCGAAGGGCAGUUAUCCUUCGGGGUAGCGGUCCUCAACAAACUAUUCAACCAAAGUCUGAACCUAAAGAACUAAUGUUAAACAACUUUUGACAACGGAUCUCUUGGCUCUC